rnacentral:rRNA from 1 species
UACAGAGGCCUCGAGCGUUAGGCGGAAUCACUGGGCUUAAAGCGUGUGUAGGUGGAUCGUUAAGUACCUUGUGAAAUCCCACGGCUUAGCCGUGGAACUGCUUGGUAUACUGGCGGUCUUGAGCCAGCUAGGGGCUACCGGAACAAAUGGUGGAGCGGUGAAAUGCGUAGAUAUCAUUUGGAACGCCAAUGGUGAAAACAGGUAGCUGGGGCUGUGCUGACACUGAGACACGAAAGCCAGGGGAGCAAACGGG